rfam:Gossypium raimondii Chr11_contig_898, whole genome shotgun sequence.
AUCCCAUGAUAUGGACACUUACGAAAUAAUUUCUUGAAUCUUUCCCACGCCUCGUACAAGGAUUCAUCAUCUAAUUGUGAAAAAGUGACUAUCUCAUUUCGCAACUU